rnacentral:rRNA from 1 species
CCCAGUGACUCUUUUAAACGGCCGCGGUAUCCUAACCGUGCAAAGGUAGCAUAAUCACUUGUCUCUUAAAUAGAGACUAGAAUGAAUGGCUAAAUGAGGACUAAUCUGUCUCUUACGGACCAACCAAUGAAAUUAAUCUUUCAGUACAAAAGCUGAAAUAAAAACAUAAGACGAGAAGACCCUGUGGAGCUUCAAACCAAACACACCCUGCAUGCUCCUCAGGUUUUUAGUUGGGGCGACUUCGGAGCACAAUAAAACCUCCAAAAUUUUUUAUCUUCAAGAUUAACAAACCAAAAACUUUAUUAGACCCAGCAAUGUAUAACAUUGUCUGAUCACUGAACCAAGUUACCCCAGGGAUAACAGCGCCAUCCCCUCCUAGAGUCCAUAUCGACAAGGGGGUUUACGACCUCGAUGUUGGAUCAGGACACCCCAAUGGUGCAGCCGCCAUUAAAGGUUCGUUUGUUCAACGAUUAAUUAGUCC